rnacentral:rRNA from 1 species
GACGAACGCUGGCGGCGUGCUUAACACAUGCAAGUCGAACGGACAGGCCCUGCUUUUGUGGGGUGCUCGAGUGGCGAACGGGUGAGUAACACGUGAGUAACAUGCCCUUGACUUUGGGAUAACUUCAGGAAACUGGGGCUAAUACCGGGUAGGAGCUCCUGCUGCAAGGGGGGGGUUGGAAAGUUUCGGCGGUUGGGGAUGGACUCGCGGCUUAUCAGCUUGUUGGGGGGGUAGUGGCUUACCACGGCUUUGACGGGUAGCCGGCCUGGGAGGGUGACCGGCCACAUUGGGACUGAGAUACGGCCCAGACUCCUACGGGACGCAGCAGUGGAGAAUAUUGCACAAUGGGCGGAAGCCUGAUGCAGCAACGCCGCGUGCGGUAUGACGUCCUUCUGGUUGUAAACCGCUUUCGCCUGUGCCGAAGCGUGAGUGACGGUAAUGGGUAAAGAAGCACCGGCUAACUACGUG